UUCGGCCAUAGUGGCGCACGGGUGAGUAACGCGUGGGAACCUGCCCAGCAGUGGGGAAUAACUUCGGGAAACCGGGGCUAAUACCGCAUACGCCCUUAGGGGGAAAGAUUUAUCGCUGUUGGAGGGGCCCGCGUCCGAUUAGUUUGUUGGUGGGGUAAUGGCCUACCAAGACUACGAUCGGUAGCUGGUCUGAGAGGAUGAUCAGCCACACUGGGACUGAGACACGGCCCAGACUCCUACGGGAGGCAGCAGUGGGGAAUAUUGGACAAUGGGCGCAAGCCUGAUCCAGCAAUGCCGCGUGAGUGAUGAAGGCCUUAGGGUUGUAAAGCUCUUUCGGCGGGGACGAUGAUGACGGUACCCGCAGAAGAAGCCCCGGCUAACUUCGUGCCAGCAGCCGCGGUAGUACGAAGGGGGCUAGCGUUGUUCGGAAUUACUGGGCGUAAAGAGCACGUAGGCGGUUCGUUAAA
rnacentral:rRNA from 1 species